rnacentral:rRNA from 1 species
UUAUAAGAGACAGCAGCAGCCGCGGUAAUACAGAGGGUGCGAGCGUUAAUCGGAUUUACUGGGCGUAAAGCGUGCGUAGGCGGCUAAUUGAGUCGGAUGUGAAAUCCCCGAGCUUAACUUGGGAAUUGCAUUCGAUACUGGUUAGCUAGAGUGUGGGAGAGGAUGGUAGAAUUCCAGGUGUAGCGGUGAAAUGCGUAGAGAUCUGGAGGAAUACCGAUGGCGAAGGCAGCCAUCUGGCCUAACACUGACGCUGAGGUACGAAAGCAUGGGGAGCAAACAGGAUUAGAGACCCGCGUAGUCCCUGUCUCUUAUAA